rnacentral:rRNA from 1 species
ACCACUUUCAAUUCCGGAUGUCAAAGCUCCCAGCACAAUGAAGAACGCACCGAAAUGCGAUAUGUAAUGCGAAUUGCAAGACCUCGUGAAUCAUUUGAAUUUUGAACGCACAUUGCGCUUCCAGGAUUUUCCUGGUUUCAUGCUUGUCUGAGUGUCCGC